rnacentral:rRNA from 1 species
CCUACGGGGGGCAGCAGUGGGGGAUAUUGCACAAUGGGGGGAACCCUGAUGCAGCGACGCCGCGUGGGUGAAGGAGUGCUUCGGCAUGUAAAGCCCUAUCGGCAGGGAAGAAGCAAGACGGUACCUGACUAAGAAGCCCCGGCUAACUACGUGCCAGCAGCCGCGGUAAUACGUAGGGGGCGAGCGUUAUCCGGCUUCACUGGGUGUAAAGGGAGCGUAGACGGCCAUGCAAGCCAGGGGUGAAAGCCCGGGGCCCAACCCCGGGACUGCCCUUGGAACUGUGCGGCUAGAGUGCGGGAGGGGCAGGCGGAAUUCCUGGUGUAGCGGUGAAAUGCGUAGAUAUCAGGAGGAAAACCGGCGGCGAAGGCGGCCUGCUGGACCGCGACUGACGUUGAGGCUCGAAAGCGUGGGGAGCGAACAGGAUUAGAUACCCGUGUAGUC